CAAGUUUAGCAAACUCAACCAAACUCCGAAUGCCGUUAGUGGAAGCCUGGGAGUGAGACAGUGACGGAUAAGCGCCAUUGUCGAAAGGGAAACAGCCCAGAUCGCAAGCUAAGGUCCCCAAGUAAUGACUAAGUGGUAAAGGAGGUGGGAUCGCCCAGACAGCUAGUAGGUUGGCUUAGAAGCAGCCAUCCUUUAAAGAGUGCGUAAUAGCUCACUAGUCGAGGGGUUCUGCGCCGAAAAUUAUCGGGGCUAAGUCAUUCACCGAAGCUGCGGGAUUCUUUAUGAAUCGGUAGGGGAGCGUUCUCAAUGCGUUGAAUCUGAAUUGUGAGAUUUGGUGGAGCGUUGAGAAGUGAGAAUGUCGGCAUGAGUAGCGACAAUCUUUGUGAGAAUCAAAGACACCGGAAGUCCGAGGUUUCCUACGCAACGUUGAUCGGCGUAGGGUUAGUCGGUCCUAAGGAGUAGCCGAAAGGUGAAUCCGAUGGACAGCUGGUCAAAAUUCCAGCACCGUAAUUAUCCUGCUAUGCAAAGAAGUGACGCGAUAAGGAAUGCUUGGCAUGCCUAUUGGACAUGGCGUGUGGGGCUCUGUAGGGAAGUGAUUGUGGUUAAAAGAACAGUUACGUUAUUAACUGAGGGGGCUUCAAACUUUAAGGCUUAGGCCUUGGAGAAUUAAGCAAGAACUAUGUCGCCGAGAAAAGCUUCGUUGAUAGGGAUAUUACGUCCGUACCGAAAACCGACACAGGUGGACAGGGGUAAAAGCCCCCAGGUGAACGAGAAAACCAUCCUUAAGGAACUCGGCAAAUUAACCCCGUAACUUCGGAAUAAGGGGAGCCUAAAACAUAUUAGACUUAGCGUUGAAAGUGUUCUAGGCCGCAGAGAAUUGGUCUGAGCGACUGUUUAUCAAAAACACAGGUCUGUGCUAAAUCGAAAGAUGACGUAUACAGGCUGACGCCUGCCCAGUGCCGGCAGGUUAACGCGAGAAGUGAGAGCUUUGAGCCGAAGCCCCGGUGAACGGCGGCCGUAACUAUAACGGUCCUAAGGUAGCGAAAUCCCUUGUCGGGUAAGUUCCGACCUGCACGAAAGGCGUAACGACUUGGACACUGUCUCAAGGAUGGACUCGGUGAAAUUGCAUGACCCGUAAAGAUGCGGGUUACGCGCAGCAGGACAAAAAGACCCCGUGGAGCUUUACUGUAGCUUGACAUUGAAUUGUGAUUAAUGAUGUGUAGGAUAGGCGGGAGACUAUGAAACUUGAGCGUCAGCUCGGGUGGAGUCGCCCUUGAAAUACCGCCCUUCUUUGGUCUUGAUUCUAACUAAUUUAAUUAGAACAGUGUCUGGUAGGCAGUUUGACUGGGGCGGUCGCCUCCUAAAAUGUAACGGAGGCGCCCAAAGGUAACCUCAGGCUGGAUGGAAAUCAGCUUUUGAGUGCAUUGGCAUAAGGUUGCUUGACUGCGAGACCUACAAGUCGAGCAGGGACGAAAGUCGGGCAAAGUGAUCCCACGGUACCGAGUGGAAGGGCCGUGGCUUAACGGAUAAAAGCUACCCCGGGGAUAACAGGCUUAUCUCCCCCAAGAGUCCAUAUCGACGGGGAGGUUUGGCACCUCGAUGUCGGCUCGUCGCAUCCUGGGGCUGAAGAAGGUCCCAAGGGUCGGGCUGUUCGCCCGUUAAAGCGGCACGCGAGCUGGGUUCAGAACGUCGUGAGACAGUUCGGUCUCUAUCCGCUGUGCGCGCAGGAAAUUUGAGAGAAGUUGCUCCUAGUACGAGAGGACCGGAGUGAGUAGACCUCUGGUGUGCCGGUUGUAUCGCCAGAUGCAUCGCCGGGUAGCUAUGUCUAUUAAGGAUAAGCGCUGAAAGCAUCUAAGUGCGAAGCCCGUCUCAAGAUAAGAUUUCCCAUCUCUUUAUGAGAGUAAGGCCCCCUGGAGACUAC
rnacentral:rRNA from 1 species